UAGAGGGCUUCAUACGUUUCAU
rnacentral:siRNA from 1 species